AUUGAACGCUGGCGGCAGGCCUAACACAUGCAAGUCGAGCGGAUGAAGGGAGCUUGCUCCUGGAUUCAGCGGCGGACGGGUGAGUAAUGCCUAGGAAUCUGCCUGGUAGUGGGGGAUAACGUCCGGAAACGGGCGCUAAUACCGCAUACGUCCUGAGGGAGAAAGUGGGGGAUCUUCGGACCUCACGCUAUCAGAUGAGCCUAGGUCGGAUUAGCUAGUUGGUGGGGUAAAGGCCUACCAAGGCGACGAUCCGUAACUGGUCUGAGAGGAUGAUCAGUCACACUGGAAAGGAAACCGGUCCCAGCCUCCUAGGGGGGGGAGAAGGGGGAAAUGUUGGAAAAGGGGGAAAAGCCUGACCCCACCAGCCGGGGGGUGAGAAGAAGGUCUUCGAAUUGUAAACCAUUUUAGGUGGGGAGAAAGGGAAGUAAUUUAAUACCUUGUUUUUUUGACUUGACCAAAAAAAAAAGCCCCGGCAAACUUGGUG
rnacentral:rRNA from 1 species